CCUACGGGAGGCAGCAGUGAGGAAUAUUGGUCAAUGGGCUUACGCCUGAACCAGCCAAGUCGCGUGAGGGAAGACUGCCCUAUGGGUUGUAAACCUCUUUUGUCAGGGAGCAAUUGGCGCUACGUGUAGCGUUAUCGAGAGUACCUGAAGAAAAAGCAUCGGCUAACUCCGUGCAAGCAGCCGCGGUAAUACGGAGGAUGCGAGGGUUAUCCGGAUUUUUUGGGUUAAAAGGGUGCGUAGGCGGAAUGCCAAGUCAGCGGUAAAGUCGCGGGGCUCAACCUCGCUCCGCCGUUGAAACUGGCGGUCUUGAGUGGGCGAGAGGUAUGCGGAAUGCGUGGUGUAGCGGUGAAAUGCAUAGAUAUCACGCAGAACUCCGAUUGCGAAGGCAGCAUACCGGCGCCCAACUGACGCUGAAGCACGAAAGCGUGGGUAUCGAACAGGAUUAGAUACCCCUGUAGUC
rnacentral:rRNA from 1 species